ensembl:lncRNA
AAUCCUACAACUCCAGAAUCCAUCCCCAUUCUCCAAAUGUUUCUUAUUCCUUCUUUUACCAGAUAUAUCUCCGUAACCUUGGCAUUGACCAAUCCCCUGGGACCAUUUUGGCUCCUUUUCUCCCUCGAGGACCCAUCAGGGAAGUUGAGUUUUCCCCCUCAGAGCUCAGGACACUGAAGGGCUCCGUGGACACCCUGGCCAGGAUCCCUCCAAAGGCACAAGGUAAAUUGUUGCCAGCAUUUGAGGUGGUGCCAACGGGUUUUGACUCCGACACUUCCGCUCUCAGCAUUUCCAUUCCCAUGGAGUCGGAGGUUGGCUCUGAUGUUCUGUCACCCCAGGAGCUCUCUCCCAGCUUCCCAAAAUUUUUUGGAGACAACCCAGCGAGCCAGUGCAGUGUGUCAUGCCACCAGCUGGAGGUGGAUGCUCCGAUUUCCACACAAGAUCCAGAGUGUCCUGCUGUCUCCAGACUUGUUGGAGCGAAGCGGGAUCCACCCGACUGCUCUUCUGACACGGGGAGUCCCCUCCUUGUUCCGACCAGCGCUCAGGAUCUUGCUAAAAACGAGUCCAAAAUUUUGGACAGCAGCCUGCAGAGAUGGGCUGCUGGUGUUUUGGCUGGAGCUCAAGAUGGAGUGGAAGCUGACAGAGGAUCCCAGACCUCCAGUGUGGGAAGUGAGAGAAAUAAGGAGCAAGGAGGUGAUUCUUUGCUGGGGUUGGGUGUGUUGAAGGACAUCCGGGAGCUCCUGGCAAAGGCAGAGGAUUUGAGUGCCAGGUGGUGUCCUCCUGCCUUUUCCAUGGCCUCUUGUAGAGAAACUGGGGAGUCUUCCCUGGUGCUGCUGAGACAGGAGGAUGAUCCCAAAGAUCCCAGGUGGGCGAAGGACAGAACCCCUCAGUUCCAGAAGAGACCGUCGUGGGAUGAGGCUGCGACCCGGCCAAGUGUGCGAGAAGAAGGCUUGGGAAUAAACCCUUGGAAUUCUGACACGUGUAACUUAAGGUGGGAGAACCCUUUGGACAUCAACUUGCACCGCGGCGAAGGGAUGAAGGAAAUAUCCCAGGAGUUCAGGGCGGGAAAAUCAGUGGGAAGGUCGGAGCCGGAGGGUUGUAGCAGCGUCACCACGGACAGGAACCAACGUACCCUGGUGGGCCUGGCACAGAGCAGUGCCAGCAGUGAGGGCAGCACCGGGGCAGCCUCAGAGCUGGGCAAUCCUCCUUCCUCAGAGCCCCCUGGAAGCAUCACUGAUAUCCCAGGAACCUUCCAGAGCACGUCCCAGUCUGGUGGAGCUGGAAGCAAAGCCGGCGGCGCCCGGGGGAGCGACGAGAGCAGCAGCGGAGAUUCCCUGGCUGCCCGUGUCAGGAACCUCCUGGGGAAUCCUCCCCCCUCAUCAGAGCAUCCCCCUGGCACAGGGGGAUUCCAGAGCAUCCUGAGUGGAGCUGGUGGUGCCAGGAUCAAGGGAGGAGGGCUGGGGGGCAGCGGCAGCAGCAGCAGUGGGGAUUCCCUGGCUGCCCGUGUCCGGACCCUCCUGAGGAGUGGAUCCCCUGGGAUAGAGGCAGCCCGAAUCCUCAGGAAUGCAGAGGAGCAGGAGAGGAAAAUCCGAGCCUGGGUGAAGCUGAGACUGGCCAGCAGAUCCCAGGAAUCUCUGCCAGACUGGGAUGAGGAGACCCAGCAAAGAAUCGAGGAAAUCAAGGCAGAGCUGCUCCUGAGGGCCAAGAAAUCCGUGCAGGCCAAGGUACAAACCAGCUUUUCCACAUGUUCCUGUGGGGUUUUUGAAUUGUUUUUCCCAAAUAG